AAAUUUUUAUACUUGGCAGUAAAAAGCUUUAAAAAGGAUAAACAAACAAGCACUGUGGUAAAAGAUGUCCAGCAAUGGUGUUUCCCGAACACUGCGCAUGUUUGCUACAGCUGCUGUUGCAUUCUUUGGUGGAACUUUUGCUCUUGGUUUCUUAACCUCUUCCAUUUCAGGACGUCUCACUCUACAUAAAAGGAAAAAGUAUGGCAGACUAUGUGGGGCUUGUAAAGGGAUAGGUUAUUACCCUUGCAAACUGUGUAAAACUAAUGGCAUAAUAGAGUGGUCUCCUCUUUAUGAUCCCGUGUUUAUAAAUCCAUGUGUUUGCCCAACCUGUGAUGGAUUUAGGGUACAACGCUGUCUCAACUGCUUGGGUUUUGGUUUUGUAUGACAACCAAGUUCAGGUGGCAUGUGAAUUGAUUUUUUCCCAAUUUUUUUUUUGAACCUCCACACCACGAAGAGAGUGAUCACUUUGAAAUUGCAAAGUUGCAGCUGGAACUUUUUGAUGUGAAGUAAUACUGGAAUACUUUCUAGGCAGGUAGGUAAUGACUAAUGAGAACUUUGAAGAGGUGGAAAACUGAUAAAUUUUGCAAGGAAUUAGAAGUUCUGUUCAACCAUUUGAAUAAGAUGAAGAAGAAACUUUGUAUUUCAAGCACCAGGAGGGAGAUGAAAAGUUUGAAGCAUGGAUAAAAUGGAGACCUUUUAGCAGACGGAAGACGAGAAAUAUAUAGCAGAAGGCUUCAAGAAAAAUCCAGAGCAAGUUUUCCUCUGCCAUGGUGGCUAGAAUUUGACAGAAAUCUCAAUGAUUCGAGCGUAGUAUUUUUCACUUGAUUGAACAGCUCGUUUCAACAAUGAAGAUCCCUUCAUUUACUGAUGAAAGUUGCAAUUCAACUCUCUUGUGCAAGGAACUGUUCUGUGGAUAUCAAAAUGAGUUAAAAGAUUUUUGUAUUUUCACUUGCGAUUUUCCUACUUAACUGUUAUAAAAUUACGUGCAAUUUUCCUA